UACGAAGGGGACUAGCGUUGUUCGGAAUUACUGGGCGUAAAGCGCACGUAGGCGGAAUUGUAAGUCAGGGGUGAAAUCCCGGGGCUCAACCUCGGAACUGCCUUUGAUACUGCAAGUCUCGAGUCCGAUAGAGAUGGGUGGAAUUCCUAGUGUAGAGGUGAAAUUCGUAGAUAUUAGGAAGAACACCGGUGGCGAAGGCGGCCCACUGGAUCGGUACUGACGCUGAGGUGCGAAAGCGUGGGGAGCAAACAGG
rnacentral:rRNA from 1 species